rnacentral:rRNA from 1 species
UACGGGGGGGGGCAAGCGUUGUUCGGAAUUACUGGGCGUAAAGGGCGCGUAGGCGGUUCGCUAAGUUGGAUGUGAAAACUCUGGGCUCAACCCAGAGCCUGCAUCCAAAAACUGGCGGGCUAGAGUUCUGGAGGGGGUAGCGGAAUUCCUGGUGUAGCGGUGAAAUGCGUAGAUAUCUGGAGGAACACCGGUGGCGAAGGCGGCAUCCUGGACCGACACUGACGCUGAGGAGCGAAAGCCAGGGGAGCAAACGGG